AUUGAACGCUGGCGGCAGGCCUAACACAUGCAAGUCGAGCGGAUGAAGGGAGCUUGCUCCUGGAUUCAGCGGCGGACGGGUGAGUAAUGACUAGGAAUCUGCCUGGUAGUGGGGGAUAACGUCCGGAAACGGGCGCUAAUACCGCAUACGUCCUGAGGGAGAAAGUGGGGGAUCUUCGGACCUCACGCUAUCAGAUGAGCCUAGGUCGGAUUAGCUAGUUGGUGGGGUAAAGGCCUACCAAGGCGACGAUCCGUAACUGGUCUGAGAGGAUGAUCAGUCACCUUGGAACUGGGACACGGUCCAGACUCCUACGGGAGGCAGCAGUGGGGAAUAUUGGACAGUGGGCGAGAGCCUGAUCCAGCCAUGCCGCGUGUGUGAAGAAGGUCUUCGGAUUGUAAAGCACUUUAAGUUGGGAGGAAGGGCAGUAAGUUAAUACCUUGCUGUUUUGACGUUACCAACAGAAUAAGCACCGGCUAACUUCGUG
rnacentral:rRNA from 1 species